UAUCGACCACAGCCGGUGGGGAACUCAACACGAGCGUUUCCUGCGGCACGUGCUGGACGGUUCAGACCCCUGAAAUACCCGUGUCCUGUCUGACACAGCAUCUGUUUGCUCCUCACCCGUCCUUACUGGAGGCUGGGGGGGCGAGGGAGGCUCUAAUCUCCCCUCCCAGAGCAUCUCCCGUGUAACUGUGACCCUCAGCACACCCCGGGGAGGUGACGGGGGCAGCUUCCCUGUCUCUGAGAAUGCAGAGGAAAGGGUUAAAUCCUUCCCCUCCCCCUGGCACAAAGUAAAAAUUAACAGUAAGUGCAGAGUCUCGGCUGAGAUUUACCCCUUUCCCUUCCCUCCUCCUUUUCCUCCUCUGGAACCAGGACUUAAAAGGAGCUCUGGGAUGGAGGAGAGGGCUGAGGGUGUUGCAGACUGAAAGCUGCAGCCCAGGCUCUGUAUCCAAACCAAGGCACUGGCCAGCUUGGAAACUGGAGCAGAAACUGGAGCCCAAACCUCUGGCUCAGCAGGUCUGAGGGCUGAAAUGAUGGAUAAAAUCCAGCUUUUUGCUUCACUUUGGAGAGUCCCAUCCCAGGUUGAAUAUCCCUGUGGUGAGACUCCAGGAAGCUGCUGCUGUUCCAUCUCCUCACACAGCUACAGAAGCAAAUUAAAAAUUGCCUUUUGGGAGUUAAA